UCUGCUCCAACUGCCCUUUGAUCUGCAAGAAAUGCCAGGCUGGACGCCCUGGCAGGAAGAGCUAUUAUUGCAUCUGCGUCUUACUCCCUCACAGACCACAGACCGGGUGGUACCAGGCUUCUUCAAGCACCUAAGGAGUUAAACAAGGCCACCAAUCCUAGCCCAACUUCCAUCAGAGGACCAUGACACACUCCCCAGCCUUCUUCAUUUAUUCAUCUGGGCUAUGUGCUAAUCCUCUAAGGGCUGAGAGGCUGCUGUUCCAAAAGCCUGGUUUUGCUGAGCGCAUGGCGCGAAGACGGAACAGGGACCGGAACCUGCCCAACUAGGAAUGAGGCGCCGCGGCACCCAGGCGCACAACCGGCGGCUGUGGUGGCUUACCUGUCGCGGCGCGCGUCUGCAGGACGACGGAGAGCAGCGCGGAGAUGAUGGAGAGCAGCCACCGUGGGCGCCGGUUCUGCGCGGUCCUCCUGAAAGAAGCGGUGGCAGAGAAGGCAAACAAAAGAUGUAUGGAGAGAGAAGGCCGUGUUUAAAGGAAGGCGGGGAUGAGCACAUAUGAAGUACACAGAGAAAGUUUAAUUACACGGGUAAGAUGGGAUUGUGCAGCAAGCCUGGCCUGCCCCAGUCCCAUGUUGUCCGCAGGAUGAAGGCAUACCUGCGUUUCAACUGAUAGGCUUGCCUAUGGUUCAGCGUAUCGAUCCAAAGCACAAAGUGGAUAACGCAUCGGGUUCCUUUCCUACUCUCUCAGCCAAGUCCUCCGUACACAUUUGUUGACUCUAGGGUACACAAGGACAGCCCUGUGUAUCUGAUUAAUGAGCAGAAGAAGCAGACUUCACUGGCCGGCUAGAAGUGAACUUAUUAAAAUUGUCAGAGAAGAGGGCUACCUCUUGGCUAACCGAGAGAAAACCAUGACUGUUCCACACAGCUGCUGCCCAAGGGGCUUGUAUCCCGAUGACCUUGACUGUGUCUGUGCAAAGAAGGCUGAGAAAACUUGCUGUUCAGCAUGCCACACAAGAAUGGAUGUGAAAAUCUGAGAAGCCAAGAGUGGGGGGGGGGGAGAAAACAGGUAGGAGGGUGUGCCAAAGGGCUCCUAAGCCCGCACCUUGUGCCCUGUACCCUGUUCACGUGUCCCUCCCGCCUCCCUUUUGUCAUGUAUGUGCAUAGCAUCCAUCACUCCUCUGCCAGCACCUGAAUGUUCUCUAUGGCCCUGGACCCUGUUCUGUCUUCAAGCACAACAGAAUUAAACUCUCCCUUCCCAUUUCUUUUUGCCAAUAGAAUCUGGCUAAUACGUUUUCUUUCUUCCACGAAAGUAACUUCUUCACUUUGCUCUCACUCGCAGUCUCUGCCUCUCUCCCUCCUUCCUGGGAAUAACCCCUCAGGGGGG